rnacentral:lncRNA from 1 species
GUUACCCACGUGGGUCCGAAGCUGUCGCCGACCUGCGCAGGGCUGAAGUUCUGCUGCACCGCCUUGUCAUAGGGAAGCCUCUCGGGAGUCAGGAAGCUGGAGAGUGUCACUGGGCAGCUGUCCCCGAAGAGCCUGGGCAGGAGCAGCUGAUGGGCGCAUGCUCGAAGCCGCCCCUGUUCCACCCGUGUUCCAGCGGAUGGCUGGGAAAACGCUCUCCCAUGGCCAAAGCCGUGAGGCCUGCCUGGCAGCCCGGCAGCCCAGCCCAACCUCUACCGUUCGCUCCCCAGCCCCUGGCCCAUCUGUGGCGGGAACUUUGUUCCGCGGCCCGGGUGGCCACCGCCUGGGUUUCCCUCCGGAAGGGAAGGGGAGUGCGCGCGGAUGUGGUCUGCGAGCUCAGCAGGCCAAGGGCCACACCUGCCGCGAAGGUUACAGUCGGUGAAGUAGAUCGGGGACACGAACUUCUCCACCCGCUCGAAAGUGGUGCGCCAGUGCUUCAAGAACGGCGCUGCCGCCAUGGCGAUGCGCCUUCCCUCCCCGGAAGAUCCUUGGUGCUGCCGGCUCGUUGCACCGCUUGGAACCAAAGGUUCCGGCAUCCAACCAGCUUACAGACCCGAGCAGCUUUUCUGGGAACACCACGGCUUUUGCGAGAGGCUGGCUCUGGGGAAGCCUCCCCGGUUCUCAGCUCAUCCUAGCUGUCUUGACAGCUGGGUAAAUUAUCUUUAAAUACAAUGGUAUCUGCCUCUCUCAGAAUCUUUGGAAAUGGAAGCAUUACAAAUCCAGAGACAACAAUGGGUUACCUCAAAUCGUUCAUCUUCACAACGGUAAAUAUGUUCUUCAUACUGAGUCUUCUUUGAACUGACAAAAGUGGAGUCUUCAGACCAAGAUGGGAAGGAAACCCAGAAAAAUCCUACUGGCAUUGGCUACCAUAACCAUAGCCUGGCUUGUGAAAUUCAGAACCACUUUCUAUUUUGAAUUAAGACUUUGUGGUUCUGAUGAGCUGAGGCUAAAAGAGCCAGCCACGAUUAAGAGACCAGUACUACUACUACAGUGAAACUUUUUCCUUACUGGGACUAUUGAUGCUGGUUAGCUGGAGCUAAGAAAUUAGUGGUGAUUAAGAAAAGACCACAUUACUGAGGUGACGUCUUCUGAGAAAUGUCUCCUCAGGACCACCAAAGGGAUGCUGCUAGGAGCCAGAUUGGGUCCCCAGGGAGUACUGGGGCUUUAAAGGCGUGAAAUCAUCAGAGACAGCUGAGGCUUGGCACCUCGAGAGCCAGGAGAGGGCAUUGAAGGUGCAGCCAGAAAAGCAAGUGAAGCUAAGGAUUGAAGGAGUAAGAAAAAGAGCCCAGGAGAGGUUAUUUGUGAAAGGGAAGCUGAGCUGCAUUAGAAAAGCCAAGUAUUUUGAAGAGGAAAAUACAGGGGCAAGACCACCAAGCAGCAAUGGAGGAGUGCAACCUGCCUAAGCCUACGAGAUAAUCUGUAGCCAUUAGAGCCAGAAAACUAGCUGAACCUUUUGGAGGAGCAGCCCCAGCAGGUUAAUUGUAAGUGGAACCCAGGCAUUGGACACAGUUAUUUACACAGUUGGAGUUUCCCUUAUUCAGACUAUGACUGUGUCCUGGUUUUUCCCUCUUGAAGAAAAAUGAUUUAAUAAGCUCAUUUUUGAUUUUACAGGAGCCCAUAGUAGAAAGACCUUGAGUUCAGAGUUUUGUUUUUUUUUAAGAGACUGGAUUUUAAACUUUUUGAUGUAUUUGAAUUAAAAAAAAACAAAACUGUAGAACUUUUAAAGUUAUUUAUGCUUUAUUAUAGAUACUAUUAGUAGGUCAUUUUGGAGACAAAUAUAAAGGGUUCUAAU